AUUUUCUCUGUUGAGCGUAUAAUGUUAUCUGUGGGUUUGUCAUGUAUGGCCUUUACUAUGUUGAGGUAUGUUUCUUCCUUAUGUACUUUGAGAGUUUUUAUGAUGGGUGGAUGUUGAAU